GUACACAGCUCUAUGUUCUACUGUCCACAGCUCUAUUUCUACUGUCCACAGGUCUAUGUUCUACUGUCCACAGCUCUAUGUUCUACUGUCCACAGCUCUAUGUUCUACUGUCCAUGGCUCUCUGUUCUGUCCACAGCUCUCUGUUCUACUGUCCACAGCUCUCUGUUCUACUGUCCACAGCUCUAUGUUCUACUGUCCACAGCUCUAUGUUCUACUGUCUCACAGCUCUAUGUUCUACUGUCCACAGCUCUCUGUUCUACUGUCCACAGCUCUCUUUCUACUGUCCACAGCUCUAUGUUCUACUGUCCACAGCUCUAUGUUCUACUGUCCAGCGGGUCUAUGUUCUACUGUCCACAGCUCUAUGUUCUAAUGUCCACAGCU
rnacentral:lncRNA from 1 species